rnacentral:rRNA from 1 species
CACCAGCGGCUCGAGUGGUGGCCACUUUUAUUGGGUCUAAAGCGUCCGUAGCCGGCUUGGCAAGUCCCCUGGGAAAUCUGGCGGCUUAACCGUCAGGCGUCCAGAGGAUACUGCCAGGCUUGGGACCGGGAGAGGUGAGAGGUACCUCAGGGGUAGGGGUGAAAUCGUGUGAUCCCUGAGGGACCACCAGUGGCGAAGGCGUCUCACUAGAACGGGUCCGACGGUCAGGGACGAAAGCUGGGGGCACGAACCGG